CACCGCGGUUAUACGAGUAACACAUAUUAAUACUUGACGGCGUAAAGGGUGAUUAAAAUUAAUUCUAUCUACAUAUUAAAGUUAAAAAUUUAUAAAGCUGUUACACGCACUUAUAAAUAAAAAAAUACACUAACGAAAGUGACUUUACAGAACUGAUUAUUUGAAUUCACGAAAAUUAAAACC
rnacentral:rRNA from 1 species